rnacentral:rRNA from 1 species
GGAUCAUUACUGUGAUUUAUACACCACACUGCGUGGGCGACACGAAACACCGAAACCGAACGCACGCCGUCAAGCAAGAAAUCCACAAAACUUUCAACAACGGAUCUCUUGGUUCUCGCAUCGAUGAAGAGCGCAGCGAAAUGCGAUACCUAGUGUGAAUUGCAGCCAUCGUGAAUCAUCGAGUUCUUGAACGCACAUUGCGCCCGCUGGUAUUCCGGCGGGCAUGCCUGUCUGAGCGUCGUUUCCUUCUUGGAGCGGUGCUUCAGACCUGGCGGGCUGUCUUUUUGGACGGCGCGCCCAAAGCGAGGGGCCUUCUGCGCGAACUAGACUGUGCGCGCGGGGCGGCCGGCGAACUUAUUACCAAGCUCGACCUCAGAUCAGGCAGGAGUACCCGCUGA